GAGUGAAGCGGCAACAGCUCAAAUUUGAAAUCUGGCUCUCGGGCCCGAGUUGUAAUUUGUAGAGGAUGCUUUUGGUGAGGUGCCUUCCGAGUUCCCUGGAACGGGACGCCAUAGAGGGUGAGAGCCCCGUCUGGUUGGACACCGACCCUCUGUAAAGCUCCUUCGACGAGUCGAGUAGUUUGGGAAUGCUGCUCUAAAUGGGAGGUAUAUGUCUUCUAAAGCUAAAUACCGGCCAGAGACCGAUAGCGCACAAGUAGAGUGAUCGAAAGAUGAAAAGAACUUUGAAAAGAGAGUUAAAAAGUACGUGAAAUUGUUGAAAGGGAAGCGCUUGUGACCAGACUUGGGCUUGGUUGAUCAUCCGGGGUUCUCCCCGGUGCACUCUUCCGGCCCAGGCCAGCAUCAGUUCGCCCUGGGGGACAAAGGCUUCGGGAAUGUGGCUCUCUCCGGGGAGUGUUAUAGCCCGCUGCGUAAUACCCUGUGGCGGACUGAGGUUCGCGCAUUCGCAAGGAUGCUGGCGUAAUGGUCAUCAGUGACCCGUCUUGAAACACGGACCAAGGAGUCGUCUUCGUAUGCGAGUGUUCGGGUGUCAAACCCCUACGCGAAAUGAAAGUGAACGCAGGUGAGAGCUUCGGCGCAUCAUCGACCGAUCCUGAUGUUAUCGGAUGGAUUUGAGUAAGAGCAUACGGGGCCGGACCCGAAAGAAGGUGAACUAUGCCUGUGUAGGGUGAAGCCAGAGGAAACUCUGGUGGAGGCUCGCAGCGGUUCUGACGUGCAAAUCGAUCGUCAAACAUGGGCAUGGGGGC
rnacentral:rRNA from 1 species